AGAGUUUGAUCCUGGCUCAGAUUGAACGCUGGCGGCAUGGUUAAAACAUGCAAGUCGAACGCGAAAGCACUUCGGUGCAAGUAGAGUGGCGAAAGGGCGAGGAAUAAGUACCUAACGUGCCUUCAGGUAAGGGAUAGCUCAUGGAAACGUGUGGUAAUACCUUAUAAUCUCACUAGUUCAUAUGGACUUUUGAGCAAAGGCUUGCUGCCUGAAGAUCGGGGUACUUCCUAUCAGCUUGUUGGUGAGGUAACGGCUCACCAAGCCGAAGACGGGUAGCGGGUGUGAGAGCAUGACCCGCCGCAUCGGAACUGAGACACUGUCCGGACUCCUACGGGAGGCUGCAGCGACGAAUCUUCCGCAAUGGGCGAAAGCCUGACGGAGCAAUGCCGCGUGUGGGAUGAAGCAUCUUCGAUGUGUAAACCACUGUCAGAUUCUAGGACCAACGACCAGAAUCAGAGGAAGGGCCGGCUAACCUCGUGCCAGCAGCCGCGGUAAUACGAGGGGCCCAAGCGUUAAUCGGAAUCACUGGGCUUAAAGCGUGCGCAGGCGGCCUUGCAAGCAUCUCGUGAAAUCCCACGGCUCAACCGUGGAACUGCGGGGUGAACUGCAAGGCUUGAGGCAGGUAGGGGCUGAUGGAACCAUGAGUGGAGCGGUGAAAUGCGUAGAUAUUCAUGGGAACGCCGAUGGGGAAGCCGAUCAGCUGGGCCUGUCCUGACGCUCAGGCACGAAAGCGUGGGGAGCAAACAGGAUUAGAUACCCUGGUAGUCCACGCCGUAAACGAUGUCUACUCGGAGUUUGGUGCCUUGAGCACUGGGCUCUCAAGCUAACGCAUUAAGUAGACCGCCUGGGGAGUACGGCCGCAAGGUUAAAACUCAAAUGAAUUGACGGGGGCCCGCACAAGCGGUGGAGCAUGUGGUUUAAUUCGAUGCAACGCGAAGAACCUUACCUACUCUUGACAUCCACAGAAGAGACCAGAGAUGGACUUGUGCCUUCGGGAACUGUGAGACAGGUGCUGCAUGGCUGUCGUCAGCUCGUGUUGUGAAAUGUUGGGUUAAGUCCCG
rnacentral:rRNA from 1 species